rnacentral:rRNA from 1 species
UACGGGGGGGGGCAAGCGUUGUUCGGAUUUAUUGGGCGUAAAGAGCGUGUAGGCGGCCAGACAAGUCUGCUGUGAAAACUCGAGGCUCAACCUCGAGCUGUCGGUGGAAACUGUCUGGCUAGAGUCCGGAAGAGGAGAGUGGAAUUCCCGGUGUAGCGGUGAAAUGCGCAGAUAUCGGGAAGAACACCUAUGGCGAAGGCAGCUCUCUGGGACGGUACUGACGCUGAGACGCGAAAGCGUGGGGAGCAAACAGG